rnacentral:rRNA from 1 species
ACUGCUAUCGGAUUGAUACUAAGCCAUGCGAGUCUUUGCAGUAAUGCAUGGCAUACGGCUCAGUAACACGUAGUCAACUUACCCUAUGGACGAGGAUAAUCUCGGGAAACUGAGCAUAAUACUCGAUAGAUCAUAAUGCCUGGAAUGGUUUAUGGUUGAAAUGAUUCGUCGCCAUAGGAUGGGACUGCGGCCUAUCAGCUUGUUGGUGAGGUAAUGGCCCACCAAGCCGAUUACAGGUACGGGCUUUGAGAGGGGAAGCCCGGAGAUGAACACUGAGAGAAGGGUCCGGGCCCUACGGGGCGCAGCAGGCGCGAAAACUUUGCAAUGUGCGGAAGCACGACAAGUUUAAUCCGAGUGCAACAUGCUGAAAUGUAGCUUUUGGUAAAUGUAAAUAGUUUAUUGAAUAAGGGGGAGGGAAGGUCUGGUGUCAGCCGCCGCGGUAAUACCAGCGCCCCAAGUGGUCGGGACGAUUAUUGGGCCUAAAGCAUCCGUAGCCGGCUCUGUAAGUUUUCGGUUAAAUCUAUAUGCUCAACGUAUAGGCCGCCGAAAAUACUGCAGUGCUAGGAAGUGGGAGAGGUAGACGGUACUCGGUAGGAAGGGGUAAAAUCCUUUGAUCUAUCGAUGACCACCUGUGGCGAAGGCGGUCUACCAGAACACGUUCGACGGUGAGGGAUGAAAGCUGGGGGAGCGAACCGGAUUAGAUACCCGGGUAGUCCCAGCUGUAAACGAUGCAGACUCGAUGAUGCAUUGGCAUAUAGGGAGUGCAGUGUCGCAGGGAAGCCGUUAAGUCUGCCGCCUGGGAAGUACGGACGCAAGUAUGAAACUUAAAGGAAUUGGCGGGGGAGCACCACAAGGGGUGAAGCCUGCGGUUC